CCGACGAAAGAGCUUUACAACCCANAGGNCUUCUUCACUCACGCGGCAUCGCUGCAUCAGAGUUUCCUCCAUUGUGCAAGAUUCCCCACUGCUGCCUCCCGUAGGGA
rnacentral:rRNA from 1 species